rnacentral:sRNA from 1 species
UAGUUUUUUUACUGUUUCUAUGGUCAAAAUGUGUCACAAUCCAAAGCCUUCAACUAAUUAUAAGAGUUAGAGAUGGAUUAGGAGUGUUUAGACAACACUUAUACCCAUUUUCUCCCAAAAGAGCCUAA